CGCUCUUCCGAUCUCUCAACGCCUCGGCCACCGUGGUGUACGACUACAGCAAGCUGCUGGUCGGCUACAGGUCCUGGCGUCGCCGCGCCUGCUACAUCACCCGCGUGGACAAGGACAACUUCCCGGGGCUGGACGCUGUCACCGAGACCUUCCAGCGGCGCCAGGGUGAGGAGCUUGGGGACAAGGCCGUGGCUCUGGCUGACCGCUCCAUCCUGGGCACCACCAUCAACAUCCUCUGCAGCGCCGUGCCCGUGUUCUGGGCCUAGGGACAGCGACGUGGGGGUGGCGCUGUCCCCCACGCUGCCUUUCAAGCGGGACACCGGGGAAUCUCCUCCUCCUCCUCCUCGUCCCCAUCCCGGGGACAGCCCGGCCCCCCCCCCCCCCCCCCCCCCCCCCCCCCCCCCCCCCCCCCCCCCCCCCCCCCCCCCCCCCCCCCCCCCCCCCCCCCCCCCCCCCCCC
rnacentral:lncRNA from 1 species